rnacentral:piRNA from 1 species
GUAGCACUUUGAGGGAUGU